AAAUAUGCUUUCUACACUACUCUAAUUACUAAGCACCCCUAAUGGGCCUUUAUCUAACAAUUACAAAGGUCUUCCCUUCCCAAAACCGUAGCUUUGACCUAUGUGUAUGUGAAGCUAGACGGUCUAGAAGGAAUCCUCAUCAUGGCCUAGACGCUCCUUAUGUAGCCGCUCCUCAUCAUGGCCUAGACGCUCCUCUUCAUGGGCUAGACGUUCCUUUUUGAGUCUAGACGCUCCUCAUCAUAGGCUAGACCGUCUAGUCUUGGAGGCUUGGCUUUCAUCGUGUGGUGAGCUUGGGCCCUCCUCCAUCAUCCCCUCCCUCUUGAAAAGGAUUUGUCCUCAAAUCCAAAGCUUUUGCUUUUGAGGGGGAUUGUUGUGGCUGGAUGGUGUCCAUCAUCUCCUCCUUCGGGAAAAGAUCUAUCCUCAGAUUUGCUAACUUGAUCUCGGAUAGCAACCUCUUGCUUCGUCAAGGUGUGUCCUCCCGGAUCAAAUAUCAACCUAUAAGAAUCUUGAAACAAAGCAAAGGAGUUAGAGUGAGUAUUUGGAGAACAAUUAAUUGUGUGAAGUUGCCAUCUUUGUUUUUCUCUUGUUUUGGUCAACUUCU
rnacentral:lncRNA from 1 species